CCUCUGCCUCAUGCAUUUAGCAGGGUCUGCUUCCACCUGUUCCAAGUUCCACAUGGAAAUGAAAAUCUGGUACUGCCACCUAUGAGUGACUGAUGUAAUUAUAUCAUAGUCUCUGGCACAAAAAAGUACUCAAUGGCAGAGGGA